GGUAGCGUGGCCGAGCGGUCUAAGGCGCUGGUUUAAGGCACCAGUCUCUCCGGAAGCGUGGGUUAGAAUCCCACCGGUGCCA
rnacentral:tRNA from 1 species